GGCAUGGCCACGGCAUAACCACGGAGCAGCGGUGGAGCCGCGCGCGCGCGCGCUCGGGGCGGCAGCGCAAGGCGCCCGGUGCCUUGCUGCAGGUUUUUGGGGGGUGCCAGAAACGUGGAUGUGUCUGUCGGCGAGACCUUCAGAAGGACAAAACGUCACCGUGAUCUCCGCUACUGAGAGCUGCCCCGCGGUCGGUGUCACAGGAUUUCCGCCAGCUUGUGCUUAUCUUCUAGAUGAAUCUCCCAGGGAGAAAAAGUGCGACAGGGACACACAGGUUUCUAUGUGGAUUCCAAGGAAGUCACAAUGUGAGGGCCCACGAGUGAGCAGAUUAGUUUCAGCUGCCAUUCCAGUCUUGCCUGAGAUGGAGCUGAGAAGAUUCUCCAGGUAUUUCUCUCUUGGCACUGUGCACCUUGUACGGGAAAUAUCUGAGGAGGAGUGA
rnacentral:lncRNA from 1 species